UAAAAAUUGGGUGUCAGAGCAAGCCCCGAGGGCAGCAGCUGUGGGCAGGCUGGAGGAAAUGGUCCCUGUUUAGGUGCUGCACUGGUCUCUGCAUGAUCAAUCCCAGCGCCCAGAACACCGAUAUCAAGGCCUUUGCCUGGCUCUUCUCCAGAUGGUUUUCUAUUGCAGGAGUUUUGCUGGCAGAGAGCUUAUGAAGAAACAGGCUUACAGAAGGUUUAGAAACGAGGCAUGUAUACGUAUUUAACAGUUCUCAGAAUGUCAAGGAUCCCUCCUCAGAGCAAGAGCUCGAAUUUACAAAAGAAGCACUACCUCCUUUAUCACAUAGUAAAAUAAAGGACCGUGUCUGCUCCAGGACAUGGCUGGUUACAAUUUUGUUUUAAAGAAAUCACCAGAGAAACCUGAGAUUCCAACCCAGCCUUUUGUUUGCCUGGGAUUAUAGCCCAGUUCUUACAAGCAGAGAAGCCUAGGACACUAACCCAGCUUCAAGAGUAUACUCAGAAUCUCAAGAAUCACAAUCUGUGCUGCCCAUUCUUCAACAGACUGUCAUCUGGAGGCCUGGAUUGGAUCAGGAGUCGGGCUCACCAAUGGAGCCCCAAUCAGUCAGUCAGGAGUGAAGAUGAAAGCUUCAAAGGCAUUGAUGACUCACUUCUCACUUGAGUCCAGACCCAUCUGGAUUGCCUGCAAAAAGGUCUCGGCAGUGACCUGAAAACAUAUGUAAAUUACCCAACCAAUUCUAACCAGGACCUGCUGUCUGGCAAUUCAUCCCCAUGUUCUAGACUUGUCCAACAAGCACCCAAGCAACUUUGAGUUCCAUCCUGCAACUCUCAGUCAGGCUCAAGAAAAGCCCCAAUUUUAUCUGGGCAUGGUGACACAUGACUGUAAUCCCAGCUACUCGGGAGGCUGAGGCAGUUGAAUCGCUUGAACCCAGGAAGCGAAGGCUGCAGUGAGCCGAGAUCAUGCCACUGCACUCCAGCCUGGGCAACACAGCGAGACUGUCUCAAAAUAAAAUUAAAAUUAAAUUUUUUAAAAAGGCCCCAAUGAUGACACUUAGCCUCUUUGACUCUAUUUGACUCUUUCUAGCUUGACUCUAGUUUGUCAGCCAUAAGUGCAGACCUACAUUUGCUUUAUGCAUUAAGAUUGGCCACUUCUGAAUGGAGACCAGAAUCUAUAUAUUU
rnacentral:lncRNA from 1 species